rnacentral:rRNA from 1 species
UACAGAGGGGGCAAGCGUUGUUCGGAAUUAUUGGGCGUAAAGGGCGCGUAGGCGGCUGCGGUAAGUCUGUAGUGAAAUCUCUGGGCUCAACUCAGAGUCUGCUAUAGGAACUGCCGUGCUUGAGUGUGGGAGAGGUGAGUGGAAUUCCCGGUGUAGCGGUGAAAUGCGCAGAUAUCGGGAGGAACACCGGUGGCGAAGGCG